CUAGGAGGUUGGCUUAGAAGCAGCCAUCCUUUAAAGAGUGCGUAAUAGCUCACUAGUCGAGUGACUCUGCGCCGAAAAUGUACCGGGGCUAAACGGACCGCCGAAGCUGCGGAUUGACACGAAGUGUCAGUGGUAGGAGAGCGUUCUAACAGCGGAGAAGCAGUACCGGAAGGAGCUGUGGAGCGGUUAGAAGUGAGAAUGCCGGUGUGAGUAGCGAAAGAUAGGUGAGAAUCCUAUCCAUCGAAAGCCUAAGGUUUCCAGGGGAAGGCUCGUCCGCCCUGGGUAAGUCGGGACCUAAGGUGAGGCCGAAAGGCGUAGCCGAUGGACAACAGGUAGAGAUUCCUGUACCACUUAAUAAACUGAAGGAGUGACGGAGAAGGCUAAGUUGAGCGUGUGAAUGGAUUCACGUGUAAGCAGUGAGGUGGUCAUGUAGGCAAAUCCGCAUGGCGAAACAUUGAGCUGUGAUGCCGAAAGCCCGAAAGGGUGAAGUCAGCUGAUGUCACGCUUCCAAGAAAAGCUUCUAGGGAUAAUUUAUUAGGUGCCCGUACCGAUAACCGACACAGGUAGGCGAGGAGAGAAUCCUAAGAUGAGCGAGAGAACUCUUGUUAAGGAACUCGGCAAAAUGACCCCGUAACUUCGGGAGAAGGGGUGCUUGUGAAAGCAAGCCGCAGUGAAAAGGCCCAGGCGACUGUUUAUCAAAAACACAGGUCUCUGCUAAACCGCAAGGUGAUGUAUAGGGGCUGACGCCUGCCCGGUGCUGGAAGGUUAAGAGGAGAGGUUAGCGCAAGCGAAGCUUUGAAUUGAAGCCCCAGUAAACGGCGGCCGUAACUAUAACGGUCCUAAGGUAGCGAAAUUCCUUGUCGGGUAAGUUCCGACCCGCACGAAAGGCGUAACGAUCUGGGCGCUGUCUCAACAAGAGACUCGGUGAAAUCAUAGUACCUGUGAAGAUGCAGGUUACCCGCGACAGGACGGAAAGACCCCGUGGAGCUUUACUGUAGCUUGAUAUUGAGCACUGGUGACACAUGUACAGGAUAGGUAGGAGACGAAGAGACCAGGACGCCAGUCUUGGAGGAGUCGCUGUUGGGAUACUACCCUUGUGUUACUGGGGUUCUAACCCGUGGCCAUGAGCUGGUCAGGGGACAGUGUCAGGUGGGCAGUUUGACUGGGGCGGUCGCCUCCCAAAGAGUAACGGAGGCGCCCAAAGGUUCCCUCAGAAUGGUUGGAAAUCAUUCGAAGAGUGUAAAGGCAGAAGGGAGCUUGACUGCGAGACCAACAAGUCGAGCAGGGACGAAAGUCGGGCUUAGUGAUCCGGCGGUACCGAAUGGAAGGGCCGUCGCUCAACGGAUAAAAGCUACCCCGGGGAUAACAGGCUGAUCUCCCCCAAGAGUUCACAUCGACGGGGAGGUUUGGCACCUCGAUGUCGGCUCAUCGCAUCCUGGGGCUGUAGUCGGUCCCAAGGGUUGGGCUGUUCGCCCAUUAAAGCGGUACGCGAGCUGGGUUCAGA
rnacentral:rRNA from 1 species